CAGGAGUUGAGCAAUGGCCGUAUGAUUUCUCCUGUCGCUACCUUUUUGUUCCAUCUUUUAUUAGUUAUUUUAAAGUUAUAUUAGGUCCGUGAUAGUAGGUUUUAGUCUGUAUUGACAAAAUUAAUAUGCAUUUAGUUUCUGUUAGUACGUCGCAUUAUAUUACCCGGAGAAUUCUUUAUAUUUAAAUUUGUUGGCCUAUUUUGUUAGCAAAGCCAUUUACUUGAUCCUCCAUUACCGUUAAAUUUUCGGUUUAGUCUUACCUAUUUUAAACGUUUGUGGUGCGAGUUUUACCAAUUUUGUGAUCCUAAGUGAAAAAUACCGGAUUCGCUCUCUCACGGUGAUCAUUUUCGUGAUCGUUUAUUUUUGUAUGCGUUCAAAGUUCGUUAUCCUUCCGAGUCCUUUGUUUCCUUAUCCCAAGCUCAUCCGGAGUAGGGACCUAUGUUCUAAAUUAGUAAGAAAGUUUCAUUUUUACGGCUCGGAAAAUCGGGACGCGAAGAUGAAUUCAACUCCUAAAAACUACAGUUUACUGUGAAACUCGAAGCGUGCUACGAUCCCCGGCUUCUCAGUUCAAUUGUUCAUCUAUGGUGUGUGGCGAAGAUGAAUAAUGCCAUGUUGCCUGAAGCUUUAAAACCUCUGGUGGCAGAGCUGCAAGAGGCAUUGGCUUUGGAGCAUAAAUUUGUGCCAAACUUACAGUUGAUCUCAGUCAGCCAGGAGGGAGGCGAUAUAACCAAUGGGAUCCGAGAUGGCUCUGCUCAUGUCUUACGAUGUCUGAAAGUUUGGUACGAUUUACCAGCAGAUGUUCUUUUCACCGCCAUUAAUUAUAUGGAUUGCUUCUUGACAAAGAUGAGAGUCAAACCUAAAUUUAUGGCCUGCAUCUCUGUUGCGUGUUUCCAACUAGCCUGCACAGUUGUUCCCGGAGUCACUGUGCCAGAUGCUACAGACUUAGUUAGCAUUUCGCAGUGCAAAUGCUCUGCAAGUGAUCUAGCCCGUAUGCAGUCGAUCAUCUCCUCUAAGCUUGGAAUACAUCCAGAUAGGCCACCUAUCACAUCAGCUACUUUACUUCGAUUAUAUCAUAAGUUAUUCACAGCUGUCGAUGCGAGCGGCCUUUAUUCACGUGUUGUGGAAGAAUCAAGCUUACAUCAGCAUCUUGAGAUAAUCGCAUGUGACACCUCUUGCGCAAAUUUUAGGCCCAGUGAAAUAGCUCUGGUUUUAAUCUGUUCACAAAUGGAUCUCGGCGUGGCACGCUUAUCUACUCCUCAUCCAAUGAUCACAACACUAAUGACUUUUGCAACCAACUUACAACACCUUUGCAAGAUAACAGAAUCUAAUUUUUAUCGGUGCCAUGAAGCAGUUUUGUGUAUAAUGCAGAGGUAUCACGCUCAAGUACAAAUGCCAUACCGGCAAAGACUAGUCUGGAGGCUAUCUCAAAGAACACUUCAGUACCUUCGUCCCACUGACAAAUUGACUAUGACUUUACCGACUAUUGACGAACACGGUCAGCUACAACUCCCAGUUUGCGCCAGGAACAAGCCUCGAAUGACUGAAGAAUGGGAAUACUUGAGGAAGUACAAGAAACUGGAAAGGAGGUGGCGGUGUGUUGGAAUGUCAACUAAAUACCUCGGUCCUCCUUAAGUUAUUCUUUCAAGAAGCUUUUUUCAUUGAUCUCUCUAUAUACUCCCUUAGUAAUUUUCUGAUGAUUCUUUAGCUGUCUCCAAGGUUUUGUUACAAUGGAUGGACCGGUGUGGCUCUGGCUGCAGCUGGGAUGACAACAAAUGUUCCUUUUGAUUAAAUUUUUAAAGAAGUAUUAAUUUUCAAAUUCCUCCUACGAUAACUCAGUUGAAGAUGAAAAGAAAAGUAAGGAAAGCUUAUUGUAUUAAACUGUAAAUACAAAAUCCCCAUCUUAAUUUAUUAUUAUUUAUUUAUUUAUUUUAUUUUUUAAUUUAUUUCUUUGUUUAGUUGCUCUGAACUCAAAUUAUUUAUUUCUCUUUCAUCAUAUACUCAUUUCAUAUACGUCUAUUUAUAACAUGUGUCAAUUUUUCAAUAUAGAUGUAUAUUCUAUUACUGGAUAUUUUUUUUUCUUAGGUAUGUUCUUUUCUUUUCUUUUCUUUUAAUUUUAUUUUUAUUUUUUUAACUUGAAUAUGAAAACGAAGGCAUCAAGUGAAUAUUAUUAUGAAUAUUUCUAAAUAAUUUAUAAUUUUAAAGUUCGUGAUUCAUCAAAAAUUUUAAAUUUUAUCCAUUUCGCUGUGAAUUUGUCUAGUUAUAAGUCUUAGCAAUGUAAAAUUUAUUUAAAUGAAGAUUUUGCAAUGUUUUUGAAGCGGCAUAAUUUGAGAUAGGUGUAUAAUCAAUUUUAUGUGUACAAAUUACCUUAAAUUAUGUAAAUUAUCGAAUCGUGCUUAUUAAGAUGAUACAUUUUACUGUUCGAUUCCUUUGCUUUGACUUUAAAUCUCUGUUAUCCCAAAAAGUGUCGCUCUCCUGUCUGGAGGCUCCAGAAUUUCAGUUAUUUCUUGUUAAAUUUUUUCAAAUUCUAUCUGCUGUAAAUCUAGUGAGCAAAGCUCUGCCAAAAAAUUUCCAAGUCUAAGGAGCACUUAGGCAUGUAUAUAUCUAUGUGAAAAUUUGACAAGCUUUUAAAUCUUGGAAAUGGAUAAAUGUGACGGUUUCUAAAAAUACAUUUGAGGUCAAAAUGUGUUAGACUCGGAAGAUAAACGUUUUUUGUCAACAUUAACAGGCCAUUCUGUCAAAUCCGUGAAUUAAAACGUUUCAAAUCUUUUUAAUUGUGUCUAUUCAAAGGAAGUAAAUAAGUCUAUUGCUCUCAGCAUGAUUUGCUGAAGUUCUAAGAAAAAGAAAAUCGUCAGCCUUAUUUCAAUAUGAAUGAAUUAUUGAAUUGUUUCUUAGCCGUAUCUUAAGGUUCAUAAGUCUUAAACAUUAUUUCAGCCAGUAGUGAAUCAUAAUCUGAAAGCAAUCUUGGCCAUAAUUCAUUCUAGAGCAUUUUGCCGUGCCGAACAGUGAAUGGAACAGCUUCAGCACAAAUUCGGCGAUUCUGUGAGUUGGUGUGGACGGUGCGGGGCACAGAAUAAGCAUGUGUUGUGCGGUGUGGCAGAGCUAGCUCUAAAGACUGUUUUUAGAUCCUGAGCCAAAAAAAACUUGGCUCCACUAGGGCAGUAGUGUAGGGUAGAUUAGUGCGUAUGCACUGUGAAGCGGGAGUUAUGCAUGGAAAAAUUAAGCAGUCCACACCGCUUGAACAUACGCCUGUAUGCUUGUUUACUGUGAAGCGCAGCAAUUUGCUCUAGUCUGGAUGCAGCUUUGGAUGAAGCACUUAUCGUCAGUGUCAGAAAUCAUCAUGUUCAAAUAUUCUUGUUUUUCAAGUAGGACAUUUUCUCAUCAGUAGCUGCCCAAGGAGGAACAAAAUGAAUGUUUGUGAAAUGAAAUUUGAAUCAAUUUUACUGGUCUUAAAUCGAAUUUAAAGAUCUCCAAAUCCCUCAUGUUCUGCAUUGUAAAUUGGCAUAUUACCAGCAUCACUAUUCUGUUCCCUGCAUCUUCAAUUUUCUUUUAUCUCAUUUUUUACUUUUGACCACUGUGAAUUUUACCAUACUGUUGGUAUCCUAUCCCGAGUGGUCAUUGAUUCAAAUAAGGUUGAGGAUUAAUGGUCAUGAUGAUUUAACAAACUACAAUAGAUUUAAAGUUAGAUCUAUGUUUUAAAUACUACAGUAAUAUUGCUGGCACUCUUGAAUUCAAUGUAACUCAAGAAUUUGUUUUGUUUGUUUCCGUUUCUUAUUUUUUGUCUACCUGCUUUCAACAAUUUUGGCAAGAUAACCAGUUAGUGUCUAAAUUGUAUUGCUAUGAUCUCAAUGGGCAAAUCUUGGUGGAAACAUUUGCGUUUUUAGAAACUGAAUCUGUACCCAAGCUGCAUCAAUCGCAUUUGCAUGUUUUUGAUGUAAUUUAUUCUCAUCAAUCUCUAGACCAUGAAUGGCAUGAACCAUCAUCAGUGCAACAUUGAGAAAUCAUUCAUGGGAAAAAUUUUUAAUACCAAGGUUAAAUCUGUCGUAAAAAGCUCUCGUGAAGGAAUAUAGGUUGUCUCUUAGCCUUUACUUUCUCGUGUAAAGCCAGGUUUUGGGACCAUUAAACUUUGAAAGGUUGUUGGAUACUAUAUGAUUUCCCAGAAACCAAUAAGCACACUAAGAAUCGUCUCUUAACUCGUGUAUUUAUUUACAAAUUUUCUUGGAAUCUUGAUUUCCAACUGUAGUAUUUGUGAUCUUGUCUUUUAAUGGACGCUUAAUGUUUAAUACCGUCUCUGACCAUUCAUUGUAAUGUAUGACAACUGACACUCAGGCUUUAAUUCUGCAGCGCACCAAUAGCUCCCCAGUUGUGUAUUUCAAAUUCUAUUACUCCAAGGAACCUAACAGGUAUCCCUGUAUCCGUAGAUGUUUUUCUCUUCUGUUCUCUGUUUGUAUUUUUAUUUUAUUUUUUUUAUCUUGCAUCAGUAGAUAUCGGUUACUUUUUAAAUUCUCUGUCUGCAGCCUUAUCUAUUUACUGUACAAGACAAGUCAGAGAGCCAAAAAUCUUCUCAUGGACUUCCUUUCGUCCUUCUUUAUGUUUUUUUCUAUUUUCUGGAAACCUUAAGCAACCAAAAACUUACAUACUUUUCAAAAAAUUAUCUUUUCACUUGCCCAUUAGUUUUUACUGAUUGGUAUUCAUCUUAUAUUUAUUUAUUUAUGUAGUUAUCUUUUCAUUGAUUUAUCUAUCUGUUUAUUAUUUUAAAGUAUUUUAACUCUUUUGUUAAAUUUUUCCAAAUCUUUUAUUUCCUAAAUCACCCAAAUUAGUUUUCGGAUCAAAUAUUUCUUACCUUUGCCAUCUUUACACUAUUUUUUUCUACUGAAGCCCCAAAUGCAUUUGCUUCUAUUUAUAUAAUUUGUCAUAAUGAAGGAAAUUUUCUACUGAAUUAUGUCAGCCAAAGCAUUUUUAUCUUCAAUCAAAUGCCCUAUCCCUUGGUUUGUUUUCAUUUUUCAUUUCAUUUAUUUUAUUUAUUUUUUUUUUUUAAAGAAAAAAAAAUGUGUUACUUUUUUUGAGAAGAGAGUAUUUAUUUAUCCAAUUUUUUAUAAACCCAUCAAAAAUAUUAUAUUAUUUAUAUGUAAAUUAUCUUCAACCCUUCUUUUCUUUGAAGUCACCUAUUUGUAUGAAUAUAGAAUGUUCGCAUUUUAACUAUUGUAUAAAAUCAUUUUUUAAUAGUAGGAAUCAAUUUAAUUUUUUUCUCCUCAUUUUAUACCAAUGAUAAAAAUUUAUUUUAAAAUUAUCGUAGUUCAUAUUAAAAUUUCAGUUAUAAGAUCAACUACUUCUAUCAUUUAGUGUAGAAACUUAAUCAUUAAUUGCUGAAUUGAAUUAGUAUCUUGAUCACACUCAAAUGAACAUUACAUCCUUGUCGCAAUGUACCUUACCCCGUGUAUUUUAUAAGAUAAAUAAAACCAAUUUUUGUAAUUUUU